rnacentral:sRNA from 1 species
UGGAUGCAGGACGAGAUGGAAGGGGAC